rnacentral:rRNA from 1 species
UACGGAGGGGGCUAGCGUUGUUCGGAAUUACUGGGCGUAAAGCGCACGUAGGCGGAUUGGAAAGUUGGGGGUGAAAUCCCGGGGCUCAACCCCGGAACUGCCUUCAAAACUCCCAGUCUGGAGGUCGAGAGAGGUGAGUGGAAUUCCGAGUGUAGAGGUGAAAUUCGUAGAUAUUCGGAGGAACACCAGUGGCGAAGGCGGCUCACUGGCUCGAUACUGACGCUGAGGUGCGAAAGCGUGGGGAGCAAACCGG